rnacentral:rRNA from 1 species
AUGAACGCUGGCGGCGUGCCUAAUACAUGCAAGUCGAGCGAACAGACGAGGAGCUUGCUCCUCUGACGUUAGCGGCGGACGGGAGAGUAACACGUGGAUAACCUACCUAUAAGACUGGGAUAACUUCGGGAAACCGGAGCUAAUACCGGAUAAUAUAUUGAACCGCAUGGUUCCAUAGUGAAAGACGGUUUUGCUGUCACUUAUAGAUGGAUCCGCGCCGCAUUAGCUAGUUGGUAAGGUAACGGCUUACCAAGGCAACGAUGCGUAGCCGACCUGAGAGGGGGAUCGGCCACACUGGAACUGAGACACGGUCCAGACUCCUACGGGAGGCAGCAGUAGGGAGUCUUCCGCAAUGGGCGAAAGCCUGACGGAGCAACGCCGCGUGGGUGAUGAAGGUCUUCGGAUCGUAAAACUCUGUUAUUAGGGAAGAACAAAUGUGUAAGUAACUAUGCACGUCUUGACGGUACCUAAUCAGAAAGCCACGGCUAACUACGUG